CGAUUAUCUCUAAAGACGCGACGCACGAAAGCCUUCAGCAGCGUUUCACAACCGUGACAUGUUGACACUUUAUUUCCCCACAUUUCCUGAGAGCUAUAGCUUUGCAGCUAUCUUCCUCGUUUUGACUUCCUCUUUGCAGCGUGAGGCUCGAUGGUCAAAGGAAUUGUCUUGCGCACGGAGUCAUCACUGCGAACUCCUGCGAGGGGAAGAGGAGCGUCGCAGUCUCACCCCGGCGCUGCUGCAGCGUCGAGAGAUCCCACCACGCAGAGCCAUCUUUGAUGUGGCGGGAUCAGGCCCCCCACUUAGUGUAUUUGACAAGCUGAGUUGGACACUCUGUAUCUCUGAGUGUCAGUUUGUCAAAUACCCCAAGUGAGGUGUCACUUGUCUACAAACAGUGACCCGUCCUCGGCCGACUGCACGGACUGACCAGCCGGCUCCCCGCCGCGCUCCGCCCCGCUGACCGGCUCCGGGUUUGUGUGUCGUCAUGGUGUAAUCUGUCAUUUGUUUAUUGGAUCCAACGAAAGAACAGAAACAUUAAUUUAUCCUGUGACAAUCCAAAUGAGUGUAAUGAAUGAUGCAAUAAAGGUUACACAGAGAUUUUUAACCAAAUUGAAGUGUGCCAGUGAAGGAAUGUUCUUUUUCAGUGUUUUUAUUCGUAGGUCUGUAGUCUCUUCACUGCCCAACUCAGCCAAAACAUUUAGGAGAGGUAAGGCUGCUCUGAAAUUCGACCCUCUGUCGUGGUGUGAUUUUCUUUUUGCAGUUUGAAGAGGUUAAUGCGAUACUUUGAUCCAAACUGUUGAAAUCCACCUUCAAUGUGACGUCCGAGUUUACUCAUUUGUUCCAGGCGACUAAAACAUGCACGCUAAUGAGCAUUUUCAAUGGGAUGUGUAUCCAAUUGCAUUUUCUUGUUAUGUAGCAAAUUAAUGCUCUAGACAAAAUGAUCGGUAUCUAAAAGACCAAAUGCAGGACAAGCCUUUUGUAAGACGGAGCAAAGACGGAGCAAAACAUGUAUUCAGUGUCCUCUCCCAUUCAACAUGUGGGAGCCAGUCUUUGCAACUUCAGCAUCAAGAACUGAAGCCUUGUUUUGGAAACUUGAGGUAAAUAAUAAAUACACAAAUGCCCCAAAAUGUUCUCUGAAUCUUUUACAGACUCAUUGUGUGAUAAUAACAUCUGUAAAAAUGUGUAUGACAGUGUAUGAUGUUUGUAGGCAGAUGGGUGAUCUAUUUAUUGUUCUUCUUAUCCUCCAUUUGAUGGCGCUUAUCGGUCCGUCCCCUGUUUCCUGUUCCUGUGGCUGCCCAAGAACGUUGCCAGCGUGUGCGUGCGUGUGUGUGUGUGUGUGUGUGUGUGUGUGUG